GUAUGUUGACUCCUUUGGCUGCCAGGAAACGGAGGCAGGCAUCAAUGUUCUCAAUCUGGAGGAGGAGGAGGAGAAGAGAGACAGAGAGAACCGAUUUUACAUUCAGAUGUAACUCCACUCAUCACACAGUCAGUAACGCAUAGGCAGUUAUCAGCAGCCUACUCAAAAAUAGCCAUCAAACACAUCGCCCGCCUUAGGGUUUCGGGACAUGCUUACAGGGAUUGACUUCGCAGAGUGCCGACCUGAGUAAGAUGAGGAGGAGAGAGGGAGGCCCGGAGCAGUGCUGAACCAAACAGUGGCCCCAGCCUAUACCUUGUGGUCACACGGCUGACACUCCUCCUUUCGGGGUUGCCUAGCAACACUGUGCGGUCACGGCACCUGUGAUUGCGCUGCACUUGCAUUUGAUCACAUGGAGUUUGACCAGCUGAUACAGGCUCCCCAGCAUUACGCACUCCUGCCAUCGAGCGCCAGGCUCCCCAGCAUUACGCACUCCUGCCAUCGAGCGCCAGGCUCCCCAGCAUUACACACUCAUGCCAUCGAGCGCCAGGCUCCCCAGCAACACGCACUCCUGCAACCAUCAUUACGCACACCUGCCUUCCCCCCCAUCACGCACUUCAGCGAUUAUUGGACUCACUUGGACUCACUCACCUCUGUUAUUAACCUCCUAUAUCUGUCUGUUCCCCCGCUCUGUUCCCCGCUUCAGCAUUUCUUGUCAUAUGUCCUUGUAUACCCGUGUGCUGAUGUUAUUCCUGUCUUGUUUCAUGUCUGUUCAUUAUUAAAUAU